rnacentral:rRNA from 1 species
GACGAACGCUGGCGGCGUGCCUAAUACAUGCAAGUAGAACGCUGAAGCUUGGUGCUUGCACCGAGCGGAUGAGUUGCGAACGGGUGAGUAACGCGUAGGUAACCUGCCUGGUAGCGGGGGAUAACUAUUGGAAACGAUAGCUAAUACCGCAUAAGAGUAGAUGUUGCAUGACAUUUGCUUAAAAGGUGCAAUUGCAUCACUACCAGAUGGACCUGCGUUGUAUUAGCUAGUUGGUGAGGUAACGGCUCACCAAGGCAACGAUACAUAGCCGACCUGAGAGGGUGAUCGGCCACACUGGUACUGAGACACGGCCCAGACUCCUACGGGAGGCAGCAGUAGGGAAUCUUCGGCAAUGGACGGAAGUCUGACCGAGCAACGCCGCGUGAGUGAAGAAGGUUUUCGGAUCGUAAAGCUCUGUUGUAAGAGAAGAACGAGUGUGAGAGUGGAAAGUUCACACUGUGACGGUAUCUUACCAGAAAGGGACGGCUAACUACGUG